AUGGAAUCCAAAAUGACCUGCAACGUGAGCGACAUGUGGAGCCCCAAGUUGCCCAAGGGACUGGACUUUGAGAUUUCCCAUCAUCCACUGACAAUGAGGCGUGUGGUCAACCUCAUCGUCGCCAUGGAGAGGUUUAAGGGCAGCAGCUCAACUUCAGUGCUGAGCACUGAAUUCACAGAUGAAAACCUGCUCAACAUCAUGCUGGAGAACUUAGUGGAAGAGAAAAUUGUGUGCAUGUGUGAGUCAACUCCAUCAUCAUAUCAGAUCGUCAGGACGGACGAGUACACGUGCAGCGUGACUGACAGUGAGAAGAGGAGCUUAGUUCUAGUCCCAAACAGCAUGGAGCUCCACGCAGUGACGCUGCAGGGAGGUGCCGACACCACAAAAGUUCACCUCAACAUGUCGACCUACUUGCACCCUACAUCCACCGUGGGCAGAACUGUGGCUCUGGCCAUCAAGGAAUCACCAAAUCUUUACCUGUCUUGCCGCAAGGAUGGGGCCGAGCCAACCUUACAUCUUGAGGACAUGACGGCAGACCGUUUGUCGAGUGUCAGCUCGGACAGCGACAUGAUGCGAUUUCUCUUCUACAAACAGACCACAGGGGUGAACAUCAGCACACUCAUGUCUGUUGCCUUCCCUAACUGGUACAUCAGCACAGCAGUGCAAAACAACAAGCCAGUGGAAAUGUGCUUGGAGUCCGCCAAUCGCCACCGAACCUUCAACAUCCGUCAGAUUUAACACCUGUCAAACACACCCAACGUAGAAUGUGUAUCUGGGGGUCAAGUUUGACCUUCAUAAGGAGAAAAUGUGGGUAUUGAUGUUGAAUAUACUGCACUUCUGCUAAUUUGAUUCAAAAGUGCAACAUGUAAUUUUUUGUUUUUUACAAAAGAACAACCUGUCCACUAGAAUUCUGCAGGUAUUACAGAGUGUCUAUAUACUGUAUGUACCAAGUACAGAAAGUGAAAUGCUAAGUGUAAUGACAUAAGUCAAGUUUCACCUGAAGGUGACAUUAUUGACCUCUAAAUGACAUCA